rnacentral:rRNA from 1 species
UACGUAGGGUGCAAGCGUUGUCCGGAAUUAUUGGGCGUAAAGAGCUCGUAGGCGGUUUGUCGCGUCUGCUGUGAAAACUCGGGGCUCAACCUCGGGCUUGCAGUGGAUACGGGCAGACUAGAGUGCGGUAGGGGAGACUGGAAUUCCUGGUGUAGCGGUGGAAUGCGCAGAUAUCAGGAGGAACACCGAUGGCGAAGGCAGGUCUCUGGGCCGCAACUGACGCUGAGGAGCGAAAGCGUGGGGAGCGAACAGG